rnacentral:rRNA from 1 species
UACGUAGGUGACAAGCGUUGUCCGGAUUUACUGGGCGUAAAGAGCGCGCAGGCGGUCGAUCAAGUCGAGUGUGAAAGCCCCCGGCUCAACUGGGGAGGGUCAUUCGAUACUGAUCGACUCGAAGGCAGGAGAGGGUAGUGGAAUUCCCGGUGUAGUGGUGAAAUGCGUAGAUAUCAGGAGGAACACCGGUGGCGAAGGCGGUUCUCUGGGCAUUACCUGACGCUGAGGAGCGAAAGUGUGGGGAGCGAACAGG